CACAGCACUCUACACUUUGAAAUGGUUCAUUUUGUGUUACCUAUAUUUUACCAUAAUGAAAAAAUUAAAAAUAAAGAUGUACAUGAACCAGUGGUGAGGUCUCUGCGGGGUUAAUCGUCUUCAUCUCCGCUUCCUUGCAGGUCUGACAUCAGUAGCGCCUCCAUUUCCACUCAGCAACAUUUACCUGGUUUUUCAUCAUAAAGGGCUUAGGUUGUUGCCACGGAAACUGCAGCAAGACUGGGAAAGGGGAGGGGGCUGCGAGGGAGCAAAGAGAGAGCUUGGAGACUGGAAUUUUCCAGGCUCUGAGCUCACGCUGUAUGCUUCCUUUGUGAUAAGUCACUGAGUGAAAAUGUGGGUCUUUGUCCACAAUAGCAUGGUCGCUCUUCCUUCCUCAGUGAGACUCUCUCACGGAGGUGAUGAACACACAGCAGUCAGCCCAGUGCCAAAUCUCCUAAGAGCCAGGUUUCUCUUUCAGGGGUACGUGUGCUGGUUUGUUAUGGAAGUACGUUGUGUGUCGUGGGGGUUUGGUGUACAGAUUAUUUCAUCACCAAGGUAAUGAGCAUCAUACCCAACAGGUAGCUUUUUGAUCCACUCCCUCCUCCCAUCUUCCACCCUCAAAUAGGCCCUGGUGUCUUUUGUUCCCUUCUCUGUGUCCAUAUGCACUCACUGUUUAGCCCUCACGUGUAAGUGAGAACGUGUGGUAUUUGGUUUUCUGUUCCCGUGUUAGUUCAAUAAGGAUAAUGACCUCCAGUUCUAUCCAUGUUACUGCAAAGGACACAAUCUCUUUUUCAUGGCUGUGUAGUAUUCCAUAGUGUAUCUAUGCUACAUUUUCUUUCUCCAGUCCACAGUUGAUGGGCAUCUAGAUUGAUUCCAUGUCUUUGCUAUUGUUAAUAGUACUGUGAUGAACAUACACGUGCAUGUGUCUUUAUGAUGGAAUGAUUUAUAUUCCUUUGGGUAUAUACCCCAUAAUGGGAUUGCUGAGCCAAAUGGUACUUCCGUUUUAAGUUAUUUGAGAAAUCUCCA
rnacentral:lncRNA from 1 species